UACGAAGGGGGCUAGCGUUGUUCGGAAUCACUGGGCGUAAAGCGCACGUAGGCGGAUCUUUAAGUCAGAGGUGAAAUCCCAAGGCUCAACCUUGGAACUGCCUUGAUACUGGGAUCUGUGUCCGGGAGAGGUGAGUGGAACUGCGAGUGUAGAGGUGAAAUUCGUAGAUAUUCGCAAGAACAUCAGUGGCGAAAGCGGCUUCCUG
rnacentral:rRNA from 1 species